GUGCCUAAUACAUGCAAGUCGUACGCACUGGCCCAACUGAUUGAUGGUGCUUGCACCUGAUUGACGAUGGAUCACCAGUGAGUGGCGGACGGGUGAGUAACACGUAGGUAACCUGCCCCGGAGCGGGGGAUAACAUUUGGAAACAGAUGCUAAUACCGCAUAACAACAAAAGCCACAUGGCUUUUGUUUGAAAGAUGGCUUUGGCUAUCACUCUGGGAUGGACCUGCGGUGCAUUAGCUAGUUGGUAAGGUAACGGCUUACCAAGGCGAUGAUGCAUAGCCGAGUUGAGAGACUGAUCGGCCACAAUGGAACUGAGACACGGUCCAUACUCCUACGGGAGGCAGCAGUAGGGAAUCUUCCACAAUGGGCGCAAGCCUGAUGGAGCAACACCGCGUGAGUGAAGAAGGGUUUCGGCUCGUAAAGCUCUGUUGUUGGAGAAGAACGUGCGUGAGAGUAACUGUUCACGCAGUGACGGUAUCCAACCAGAAAGUCACGGCUAACUACGUGCCAGCAGCCGCGGUAAUACGUAGGUGGCAAGCGUUAUCCGGAUUUAUUGGGCGUAAAGCGAGCGCAGGCGGUUGCUUAGGUCUGAUGUGAAAGCCUUCGGCUUAACCGAAGAAGUGCAUCGGAAACCGGGCGACUUGAGUGCAGAAGAGGACAGUGGAACUCCAUGUGUAGCGGUGGAAUGCGUAGAUAUAUGGAAGAACACCAGUGGCGAAGGCGGCUGUCUGGUCUGCAACUGACGCUGAGGCUCGAAAGCAUGGGUAGCGAACAGGAUUAGAUACCCUGGUAGUCCAUGCCGUAAACGAUGAGUGCUAGGUGUUGGAGGGUUUCCGCCCUUCAGUGCCGGAGCUAACGCAUUAAGCACUCCGCCUGGGGAGUACGACCGCAAGGUUGAAACUCAAAGGAAUUGACGGGGGCCCGCACAAGCGGUGGAGCAUGUGGUUUAAUUCGAAGCUACGCGAAGAACCUUACCAGGUCUUGACAUCUUGCGCUAACCUUAGAGAUAAGGCGUUCCCUUCGGGGACGCAAUGACAGGUGGUGCAUGGUCGUCGUCAGCUCGUGUCGUGAGAUGUUGGGUUAAGUCCCGCAACGAGCGCAACCCUUGUUACUAGUUGCCAGCAUUAAGUUGGGCACUCUAGUGAGACUGCCGGUGACAAACCGGAGGAAGGUGGGGACGACGUCAGAUCAUCAUGCCCCUUAUGACCUGGGCUACACACGUGCUACAAUGGACGGUACAACGAGUCGCAAGCUCGCGAGAGUAAGCUAAUCUCUUAAAGCCGUUCUCAGUUCGGACUGUAGGCUGCAACUCGCCUACACGAAGUCGGAAUCGCUAGUAAUCGCGGAUCAGCAUGCCGCGGUGAAUACGUUCCCGGGCCUUGUACACACCGCCCGUCACACCAUGGGAGUUUGUAACGCCCAAAGUCGGUGGCCCGACCAUUAUGGAGGGAGCCGCCUAA
rnacentral:rRNA from 2 species